GAGAAGGGCAUCUGGUGAAUGCCUUGGCGUAUAGAGGCGAUGAAAGACGUGACACCCUGCGAUAAGCAUCGGGGAGCCGGGAGUAGGCUUUGAUCCGAUGAUUUCUGAAUGGGGCAACCCAAUCCUUUAGGAUUAUCCGUAACUGAAUACAUAGGUUACGGAGGCAAACCAAGCGAACUGAAACAUCUAAGUAGCUUGAGGAAAAUAAAUCAACCGAGAUUCCCCUAGUAGCGGCGAGCGAACGGGGACCAGCCCAGUGAUAUAUUGGUAAGAAGACGAAUGCUCUGGAAAGUGCAGCCAUAGUAGGUGAUAGCCCUGUAGUCGUAGAAAUCCUUUAUAUCCUUGAGUAAGGCGGAACACGUGAAAUUCUGUCUGAACAUGGGGGGACCACCCUCCAAGGCUAAAUACUCCUAUACGACCGAUAGUGUACCAGUACCGUGAGGGAAAGGUGAAAAGCACCCCGAUAAGGGGAGUGAAACAGAACCUGAAACCGGAUGCCUACAAGCAGUCGGAGCAGUCUUGAACUGUGACGGCGUACCUUUUGUAUAAUGGGUCAGCGAGUUAAUUUAUCGAGCAAGCCUAAGCCGAUAGGCGUAAGCGCAGCGAAAGCGAGUCUGAAUAGGGCGAGUGAGUUCGAUGGAUUAGACCCGAAACCAGGUGAUCUAGGCAUGAGCAGGUUGAAGGUGCGGUAACACGCACUGGAGGACCGAACCCACGUCUGUUGAAAAAGACGGGGAUGACUUGUGCCUAGGGGUGAAAGGCCAAUCAAACCUGGAGAUAGCUGGUUCUCCGCGAAAUCUAUUUAGGUAGAGCGUCAGAUGAAUACCCUCGGGGGUAGAGCACUGGAUCGGGACGGGGGGCGCGAGCCUUACCAACUCGAACCAAACUCCGAAUACCGAGGAGUACUAUCUGGCAGACACACUGCGGGUGCUAAGGUCCGUAGUGGAAAGGGAAACAGCCCAGACCACCAGCUAAGGUCCCUAAAUCACGUGCUAAGUGGGAAAGGAUGUGGGAAGGCCAAAACAACCAGGAGGUUGGCUUAGAAGCAGCCACCCUUUAAAGAAAGCGUAACAGCUCACUGGUCUAAUUAAGCCGUCCUGCGCCGAAGAUGUACCGGGGCUCAAGCCGUGUACCGAAGCUGUGGAUUUGUCCUUUAGGACAAGUGGUAGCGGAGCGAUCUGUAAGCCUGCGAAGGUGUUGUGUGAGCAAUGCUGGAGGUAUCAGAUGUGAGAAUGCUGACAUGAGUAGCGAUAAACAGAGUGAGAAACUCUGUCGCCGAAAGCCCAAGGGUUCCUGCGCAAGGCUAAUCCGCGCAGGGUGAGUCGGCCCCUAAGACGAGGACGAAAGUCGUAGUUGAUGGGAAUCAGGUUAAUAUUCCUGAACCUGGGAGUAGUGACGAAUGCCGGAAUUUGUACGUCCUUAUUGGAUUGAACGUGCAACCAGGGUGUUCCAGGAAAUAACUCUCCCGUAUAGACCGUACCCCAAACCGACACAGGUGGGCAGGUAGAGAAUACCAAGGCGCUUGAGAGAAUGGUGUUGAAGGAACUCGGCAAAAUUCACCCGUAACUUCGGGAUAAGGGUGACCUGUAUUUGCGCAAGCAGAUAUGGGUGUCACAAAAUUGGGGGUGGCGACUGUUUACUAAAAACACAGGGCUCUGCGAAGUCGCAAGACGACGUAUAGGGUCUGACGCCUGCCCGGUGCCGGAAGGUUAAAAGGAGUGGUGCAAGCCAUGAAUUGAAGCCCCGGUAAACGGCGGCCGUAACUAUAACGGUCCUAAGGUAGCGAAAUUCCUUGUCGGGUAAGUUCCGACCUGCACGAAUGGCGUAACGACUUCCCCGCUGUCUCCAACACCAACUCAGCGAAAUUGAACUCUCCGUGAAGAUGCGGAGUUCCUGCGGUUAGACGGAAAGACCCCGUGCACCUUUACUAUAGCUUCGCAGUGGCAUUAGUAACUAAAUGUGUAGAAUAGGUGGGAGGCUUUGAAGCAGAGACGCCAGUCGCUGUGGAGCCACCUUUGAAAUACCACCCUUUUAGUUAUUGAUGUCUAACCGCGGUCCGUGAAACCGGAUCCGGGACCCUGCGUGGUGGGUAGUUUGACUGGGGCGGUCGCCUCCUAAAGCGUAACGGAGGCGCACGAUGGUAAGCUCAGGCUGGUCGGAAAUCAGCUUUUAGAGUGCAAUGGCAUAAGCUUGCCUGACUGUGAGUCUGACAAGACGAACAGAGACGAAAGUCGGUCAUAGUGAUCCGGUGACUCCUCGUGGAAGGGUCAUCGCUCAACGGAUAAAAGGUACGCCGGGGAUAACAGGCUGAUACUACCCAAGAGUUCACAUCGACGGUAGUGUUUGGCACCUCGAUGUCGGCUCAUCACAUCCUGGGGCUGGAGCAGGUCCCAAGGGUUUGGCUGUUCGCCAAUUAAAGUGGUACGUGAGCUGGGUUUAGAACGUCGUGAGACAGUUCGGUCCCUAUCUGCCGUAGGUGGAGGAUACUUGACAGGAUUUGCCCCUAGUACGAGAGGACCGGGGUGAACGAACCUCUGGUGUACCAGUUGUUCCGCCAGGAGCAUCGCUGGGUAGCUAAGUUCGGACAGGAUAACCGCUGAAAGCAUCUAAGCGGGAAACCCACCUGGAAACUAGGUAUCCCUGAGAAUCGUGGAAGACGACCACGUUGAUAGGUCAGGUGUGGAAGUGUGGCAACACAUGAAGCUAACUGAUACUAAUCAUUCGAUAGGCUUGAU
rnacentral:rRNA from 1 species